GGGGCUGAUUUGGAUUUGACAGCGAGUUUUGUGGGAAUAUAAGCAUGCCGAGCAUUGUGAAAGUGGCUCGUAAAUCUCAAUUCUCAAGCCUAUAAACGGCAACGAUUACAAUUACGCUAUAGCUGCUUAAUAUUAGAUAUUAGGCACAAGCUGUUUCCCGGGAAGCUACUCCUGACUGCGUCCCAGCGGAAGCAUCGAUAAAACUCAGGAUAAGGCAAUUUUCGCUUCGCAAAUUGUUCGAAAACCUCAGAAGCUUAGGUGAAAGAUAGGGUGCUUUUUCCCGGUCUAAGCCGAAAUUCAACAAAAAGCUAAGCAUGUAGAAAGUAUUUUUGCUGCUUGUUUGGACGAGGGUUCAAGUCCCUCCAGCUCCACUA
rnacentral:tmRNA from 1 species